GUCGUCCCUGGACGGACAGACAGACAGACUGACAGACUGACACCCCAGAUCUGGACAGACAGACUGACUGACAGACUGACACACUGACAGCCCAGAUCUGGACAGACAGACAGACAGACAGACAGACUGACACCCCAGAUCCGCUGCCCAGCACCUUCACCCGCAGCAGAUCAUCCCUGGGACGGACGGACAGACAGACAGACAGACAGACUGACACACUGACAGUCCAGAUCUGGACAGACUGACAGACAGACAGACGGACUGACUGACAGCCCAGAUCUGGACAGACAGACAGACAGACAGACAGACAGACGCCCCAGAUCCGCUGCCCAGCACCUUCACCCGCAGCAGGUCGUCCCUGGACGGACAGACGGACACACUGAUGGACUGACAGCCCAGAUCUGGACAGACAGACAGACAGACACCCCAGACCCACUGCCCAGCACCUUCACCCACAACAGAUCAUCCCUGGGACGGACAGACAGACAGACUGACUGACACCCCAGAUCUGGACAGACAGACUGAGGGACUGACUGACUGACAGACUGACAGCCCAGAUCUGGACAGACAGACUGACAGACACCCCAGAUCCGCUGCCCAGCACCUUCACCCGCAGCAGACCAUCCCUGGGACGGACAGACAGACAGACAGACGGACAGACAGACAGACUCCCAGGCCAUUCCAGAGCCCAGGAAUGGCCCCCAAAAUACAGGAAAAACCAUGUGGGGGAAAAACAUCCUGGAUUUGGAUUUGGAGGACAAAAAUUCUCCUGGGGUUGGAUUGUGGGGAAAAAUCCUUCCAGGGAAAAAAAAAAAUCUUCCUGGCUUGGAUUUGUAUGGAAAAAUCAUCCUGGGGCUGAAUUCAUAGGGGAAAAAGAUGUUGGAAAAAUCAUCCUGGGGUUAGAUUUGGGGGGAGAAAAUAAUCCAAUUAUAAAUAUAAUAAUCCUGGGGUUUCUUUUAGGAAAAAAAUCCAGGGGUUUAUUUUAGGAAAAAUCAUCCUGGGGUUUCUUUUAGGAAAUAAUUCUGGGGUUUAUUUUAGGAAAUAAUCCUGGAGUUUAUUUUAGGAAAUAAUCCUGGGGUUUCUUUUAGGAAAUAAUCCAGGGAUUUAUUUUAGGAAAAAAUCAUCCUGGGGUUUCUUUUAGGAAAAAUUCCAGGGAUUUCUUUUAGGAAAUAAUCCUGGGGUUUAUUUUAGGAAAUAAUCCCGGGGUUUUUUUAGGAAAAAUCAUCCUGGGGUUUAUUUUAGGAAAAAAUCCUGGGGUUUCUUUUAGGAAAAAUCAUCCUGGGGUUUCUUUUAGGAAAAAAUCCUGGGGUUUAUUUUAGGAAAUAAUCCUGGGGUUUCUUUUAGGAAAAAUAAUCCAGGGGUUUAUUUUAGGAAAAAAUCCUGGGGUUUCUUUUGGGAAAAAUAAUCCUGGGGUUUCUUUUAGGAAAAAUAAUCCUGGGGUUUCUUUUAGGAAAUAAUUCUGGGGUUUAUUUUAGGAAAUAAUCCUGGGGUUUCUUUUAGGAAAAAUAAUCCUGGGGUUUCUUUUAGGAAAAAAAUCCUGGGAUUUCUUUUAGGAAAUAAUCCCUGGGUCUCUUUUAGGAAAAAAUCCCGGGGUUUCUUUUAGGAAAAAAUCCUGGGGUUUAUUUUAGGAAAAAAAUCCAGGUUGGAUUUGUGAGGAAAAAUCCUUUCAGGUGUUGGAUUUUUAGGGAAAAGCCACCCUGGGGUUGGAUUUUAGGGGGAAUCAUCCCGGGCAGGAGCAGCAGCAGAGCUGGGCUGGAACAGCUGGAGCUGCACCCCUGGGGUUCCUGAGGGGUUUUGGGGAUUCCUGAGGGAUUUUUGGGGGAUUUUGGGGGAUUUUUGGGGAUUCCCAGGCACUCAC
rnacentral:lncRNA from 1 species